AGUGAACGCUGGCGGUAGGCCUAACACAUGCAAGUCGAACGGCAGCACAGUAAGUGCUUGCUCUUACGGGUGGCGAGUGGCGGACGGGUGAGGUAUACAUCGGAAUCUACUUUUUCGUGGGGGCUAACGUAGGGAAACUUACGCUAAUACCGCAUACGACCUAAGGGUGAAAGCAGGGGAUCUUCGGACCUUGCGCGAUUGAAUGAGCCGAUGUCGGAUUGGCUAGUUGGCGGGGUAAAGGCCCACCAAGGCGACGAUCCGUAGCUGGUCUGAGAGGAGGAUCAGCCCCACUGGACCGGAGACACGGUCCAGACUCCUACGGGAGGAACCAGUGGGGAAUAUUGGACAAUGGGCGCAAGCCGGAUCCAGCCAGACCGCGUGGGGGAGGAAGGCCUUCGGGUUGUAAAGACCUUUUGUUGGGAAAGAAAAGCAGCAGGUUAAUACCCCGCUGUUCUGACGGUACCCAAAGAAUAAGCACCGGCUAACUUCGUG
rnacentral:rRNA from 1 species